UCCGUAGGUGAACCUGCGGAAGGAUCAUUACUGAUUUGCUUAAUUGCACCACAUGUGUUUUUCUUUGAAACAAACUUGCUUUGGCGGUGGGCCCAGCCUGCCGCCAGAGGUCUAAACUUACAACCAAUUUUUUAUCAACUUGUCACACCAGAUUAUUACUAAUAGUCAAAACUUUCAACAACGGAUCUCUUGGUUCUCGCAUCGAUGAAGAACGCAGCGAAAUGCGAUACGUAAUAUGAAUUGCAGAUAUUCGUGAAUCAUCGAAUCUUUGAACGCACAUUGCGCCCUCUGGUAUUCCGGAGGGCAUGCCUGUUUGAGCGUCGUUUCUCCCUCAAACCGCUGGGUUUGGUGUUGAGCAAUACGACUUGGGUUUGCUUGAAAGACGGUAGUGGUAAGGCGGGAUCGCUUUGACAAUGGCUUAGGUCUAACCAAAAACAUUGCUUGCGGCGGUAACGUCCACCACGUAUAUCUUCAAACUUUGACCUCAAAUCAGGUAGGACUACCCGCUGAACUUAAGCAUAUCAAUAA
rnacentral:rRNA from 1 species